CUGCUCACUUUGGCAGCACACAUACUAAAAUUGGAACUAUUAAAGAUUAACACAGCCCUGGCGCAAGGGUGCCAUGCAAAUUUGUGAAGUGCUCCAUACUUUU